rnacentral:rRNA from 1 species
UACGUAGGGGGCAAGCGUUGUCCGGAUUUAUUGGGCGUAAAGAGCGUGUAGGCGGCUGGGUAGGUCCGUUGUGAAAACUCGAGCUCAACCUCGAGACGCCGAUGGAAACCCUCCAGCUAGAGUCCGGAAGAGGAGAGUGGAAUUCCUGGUGUAGCGGUGAAAUGCGCAGAUAUCAGGAAGAACACCCGUGGCGAAGGCGGCUCUCUGGGGACGGUACUGACGCUGAGACGCGAAAAGCGUGGGGGAGCGAACAGG